rnacentral:tRNA from 1 species
GCCCCUUUAGUUAAAUGGUAUAACGGUUGAUUUGUAAUCAUCAAUUGGCAGUUCGAUUCUGUCAAGGGGCACCA